rnacentral:rRNA from 1 species
AUGUUUGUUCUUCUCAGUGCCAAGCCUAGACCCAGCAAGAAGGCUCGGUUAAAUAAACCGGCUGAUGAUAAUGUGGUUAUUGAACCGGAGAAGAUUCCAGAUCUGGAAGGAACAAAUGCUGAUGUUAUACAUGAUGACCCGCCACCUCAAGAUUAUGACUUCAUUGUUGAACAAGUAGAAGUGGACACCAGAGAUCACACUGAUAAACCGACAAGCCCAGCCCGAACUGAUGAUAAGCCGACAAGUCCAGCUAAGGCUGCUGAUAAACCGUCGUCUCCGGUGAAGGCUGCUAGUGAUAAAGAGGAUGACAUUAUGAUUACUGGCGUCAACCACACCACUCCUGGCAACCCUGUUGCUUUAUCGAAGCAUAGUGCCAAGGACGAGCUUUCUGCUAUGAGCAAAGGCAAAUGGAGCACAGAUUUGUCAACCUAUGCCCACCUCAACGCCCAAGACAUCCAUUCUGGUUUCUUAAACCAUCUGUACACAAGCCGCGACUUUGAAGCCGGUUUAGUGAAUCUGAGGAAGGAGCGAUAUGAGGCUGAGCUGAGCAAAAAGGAAACUCAAACCGCUGAUCUGCAAGAAAACAUCAAGUCCUAG